rnacentral:rRNA from 1 species
UUAAAUUGAAGAGUUUGAUCAUGGCUCAGAUUGAACGCUGGCGGCAGGCCUAACACAUGCAAGUCGAACGGUAACAGGAAGCAGCUUGCUGCUUUGCUGACGAGUGGCGGACGGGGGAGUAAUGUCUGGGAAACUGCCUGAUGGAGGGGGAUAACUACUGGAAACGGUAGCUAAUACCGCAUAACGUCGCAAGACCAAAGAGGGGGACCUUCGGGCCUCUUGCCAUCGGAUGUGCCCAGAUGGGAUUAGCUUGUUGGUGGGGUAACGGCUCACCAAGGCGACGAUCCCUAGCUGGUCUGAGAGGAUGACCAGCCACACUGGAACUGAGACACGGUCCAGACUCCUACGGGAGGCAGCAGUGGGGAAUAUUGCACAAUGGG